GAUGAACGCUGGCGGCGUGCCUAAUACAUGCAAGUCGAGCGAAGCGGGGACGGGUGAGUAACACGUGGAUAACCUCCUAUAAGACUGGGACAACUUCGGGAAACAGGAGCUAAACCGGAUACUUAUAGAUGGAUCCGCGCUGCAUUAGCUAGUGGGUGGGGUAAUGGCUCACCAAGGCGACGAUGCCUAGCUGGUCUGAGAGGAGGACCGGCCACACUGGAACUGAGACACGGCCCAGACUCCUACGGGAGGCAGCAGUGGGGAAUAUUGCACAAUGGGCGCAAGCCUGAUGGAGCCAUGCCGCGUGUGUGAAGAAGGUCUUCGGGUUGUAAAGCACUUUCGGCGGGGAGGCGUUACUCGCAGAAGAAGCACCGGCUAACUCCGUGCCAGCAGCCGCGGUAAUUC
rnacentral:rRNA from 1 species